UAGGGAAUCUUCGGCAAUGGGCGCAAGCCUGAUGGAGCAGCACCGCGUGAGUGAAGAAGGGUUUCGGCUCGUAAAGCUCUGUUGUUAAAGAAGAACACGUAUGAGAGUAACUGUUCAUACGUUGACGGUAUUUAACCAGAAAGUCACGGCUAACUACGUGCCAG
rnacentral:rRNA from 1 species